CACGUAGGGCGCGAGCGUUGUCCGGAAUUAUUGGGCGUAAAGAGCUCGUAGGCGGUUUGUCACGUCGGAUGUGAAAACCCGGGGCUUAACCCCGGGCCUGCAUUCGAUACGGGCUGACUAGAGUUCGGCAGGGGAGACUGGAAUUCUUGGUGUAGCGGUGAAAUGCGCAGAUAUCAGGAGGAACACCGGUGGCGAAGGCGGGUCUCUGGGCCGAUACUGACGCUGAGGAGCGAAAGCGUGGGGAGCGAACAGG
rnacentral:rRNA from 1 species